UCCCCGGUAGCUCAACCGGUAGAGCGUUCGGCUGUUAACCGAAAUGUCGUUGGUUCGAAUCCAACCCGGGGAG
rnacentral:tRNA from 1 species